CCUCACCUACGGGGGGCAGCAGUGGGGGAUAUUGCACAAUGGGAGAAACCCUGAUGCAGCGACGCCGCGUGGGUGAAGAAGCGCCUCGGCGCGUAAAGCCCUGUCAGCAGGGAAGAAAAUGACGGUACCUGAAGAAGAAGCCCCGGCUAACUGCGUGCCAGCAGCCGCGGUAAUACGUAGGGGGCAAGCGUUAUCCGGAUUUACUGGGUGUAAAGGGGGCGCAGACGGCGAUGCAAGCCAGGAGUGAAAGCCCGGGGCCCAACCCCGGGCCUGCUCUUGGAACUGCGUGGCUAGAGGGCAGGAGG
rnacentral:rRNA from 1 species